rnacentral:rRNA from 1 species
AUACGUAGGGGGCGAGCGUUGUCCGGAAUGAUUGGGCGUAAAGGGCGCGUAGGCGGCCCGGUAAGUCUGGAGUGAAAGUCCUGUUUUUAAGAUGGGAAUUGCUUUGGAUACUGUCGGGCUUGAGUGCAGGAGAGGUAAGUGGAAUUCCCAGUGUAGCGGUGAAAUGCGUAGAGAUUGGGAGGAACACCAGUGGCGAAGGCGACUUACUGGGCCGUAACUGACGCUGAGGCGCGAAAGCGUGGGGAGCGAACAGGAUUAGAUACCCUGGUAGUCCACGCGGUAAACGAUGAAUGCUAGGUGUUGCGGGUAUCGACCCCUGCAGUGCCGGAGUAAACACAAUAAGCAUUCCGCCUGGGGAGUACGGCCGCAAGGUUGAAACUCAAAUGAAUUGGCGGGG